rnacentral:rRNA from 1 species
CCAGACAACCAGGAUGUUGGCUUAGAAGCAGCCAUCAUUUAAAGAAAGCGUAAUAGCUCACUGGUCGAGUCGGCCUGCGCGGAAGAUGUAACGGGGCUAAACCAUGCACCGAAGCUGCGGCAGCGACGCUUAUGCGUUGUUGGGUAGGGGAGCGUUCUGUAAGCCUGCGAAGGUGUGCUGUGAGGCAUGCUGGAGGUAUCAGAAGUGCGAAUGCUGACAUAAGUAACGAUAAAGCGGGUGAAAAGCCCGCUCGCCGGAAGACCAAGGGUUCCUGUCCAACGUUAAUCGGGGCAGGGUGAGUCGACCCCUAAGGCGAGGCCGAAAGGCGUAGUCGAUGGGAAACAGGUUAAUAUUCCUGUACUUGGUGUUACUGCGAAGGGGGGACGGAGAAGGCUAUGUUGGCCGGGCGACGGUUGUCCCGGUUUAAGCGUGUAGGCUGGUUUUCCAGGCAAAUCCGGAAAAUCAAGGCUGAGGCGUGAUGACGAGGCACUACGGUGCUGAAGCAACAAAUGCCCUGCUUCCAGGAAAAGCCUCUAAGCAUCAGGUAACAUCAAAUCGUACCCCAAACCGACACAGGUGGUCAGGUAGAGAAUACCAAGGCGCUUGAGAGAACUCGGGUGAAGGAACUAGGCAAAAUGGUGCCGUAACUUCGGGAGAAGGCACGCUGAUAUGUAGGUGAAGUCCCUCGCGGAUGGAGCUGAAAUCAGUCGAAGAUACCAGCUGGCUGCAACUGUUUAUUAAAAACACAGCACUGUGCAAACACGAAAGUGGACGUAUACGGUGUGACGCCUGCCCGGUGCCGGAAGGUUAAUUGAUGGGGUCAGCGCAAGCGAAGCUCUUGAUCGAAGCCCCGGUAAACGGCGGCCGUAACUAUAACGGUCCUAAGGUAGCGAAAUUCCUUGUCGGGUAAGUUCCGACCUGCACGAAUGGCGUAAUGAUGGCCAGGCUGUCUCCACCCGAGACUCAGUGAAAUUGAACUCGCUGUGAAGAUGCAGUGUACCCGCGGCAAGACGGAAAGACCCCGUGAACCUUUACUAUAGCUUGACACUGAACAUUGAGCCUUGAUGUGUAGGAUAGGUGGGAGGCUUUGAAGUGUGGACGCCAGUCUGCAUGGAGCCGACCUUGAAAUACCACCCUUUAAUGUUUGAUGUUCUAACGUUGACCCGUAAUCCGGGUUGCGGACAGUGUCUGGUGGGUAGUUUGACUGGGGCGGUCUCCUCCUAAAGAGUAACGGAGGAGCACGAAGGUUGGCUAAUCCUGGUCGGACAUCAGGAGGUUAGUGCAAUGGCAUAAGCCAGCUUGACUGCGAGCGUGACGGCGCGAGCAGGUGCGAAAGCAGGUCAUAGUGAUCCGGUGGUUCUGAAUGGAAGGGCCAUCGCUCAACGGAUAAAAGGUACUCCGGGGAUAACAGGCUGAUACCGCCCAAGAGUUCAUAUCGACGGCGGUGUUUGGCACCUCGAUGUCGGCUCAUCACAUCCUGGGGCUGAAGUAGGUCCCAAGGGUAUGGCUGUUCGCCAUUUAAAGUGGUACGCGAGCUGGGUUUAGAACGUCGUGAGACAGUUCGGUCCCUAUCUGCCGUGGGCGCUGGAGAACUGAGGGGGGCUGCUCCUAGUACGAGAGGACCGGAGUGGACGCAUCACUGGUGUUCGGGUUGUCAUGCCAAUGGCACUGCCCGGUAGCUAAAUGCGGAAGAGAUAAGUGCUGAAAGCAUCUAAGCACGAAACUUGCCCCGAGAUGAGUUCUCCCUGACCCUUUAAGGGUCCUGAAGGAACGUUGAAGACGACGACGUUGAUAGGCCGGGUGUGUAAGCGCAGCGAUGCGUUGAGCUAACCGGUACUAAUGAACCGUGAGGCUUAACCUU